rfam:Neurospora crassa OR74A unplaced genomic scaffold supercont12.8, whole genome shotgun sequence.
UACUUAGUUAAUUUUAUUAAUAGUUAUAUAUUUGUUUUAAAAAUUAAGUUAUAUAUAUUUAAGUUUAAGUAAUUAAAUUGUAAAAUUGUAAAUAGUUUAUUAAAUUAGUUAUAGUUUAUUUGAUAGUACUUUACUAUAUAGAUAACCGUAGUAAUUCUAGAGUUAAUAUAUAUUAAAAACUCUAAUUUCGGAAGGGGUGUAUUUAUUAAAUUAAAAACUAAUACCCUUCGGGGCUAACUAGUAAUUUAUAAUAACUUUUCGAAUUGUAUGGCUUUGCGUUGGUAAUAGUUUAUUUAAAUUUCUGCCCUAUUAAUUUUCGAUAGUUAGGUUUUAGCUAGUUAUAGUAAUAAUAGGUAACGGAGGGUUAGGGUUCGACUUUGGAGAAGGAGUUUAAGAAACGGUUAUUAUAUUUAAGGAAGGUAGUAGGUAUAUAAAUUACCUAAUUCCGAUACGGGGAGGUAGUAAUAAUAAAUAUUAAUAUAGGGCUCUUUUAGAUUUUGUAAUUAGAAUAAAUAUAAUUUAAAUCUUUUAAUGAGGAAUAAUUGGAGGGUAAGUUUAGUAUUAGUAGUUAUAGUAAUUCUAGUUCUAAUAGUAUAUAUUAAAAUUAUUGAGGUUAAAAAGCUUGUAGUUGAACCUUAGGUUCGGUCCGUCGGUCCGCCUUAUUGCGUGUAUUGACUGGGUUGGGCCUUUUUUCUUAGAGAACUGUAUACCCUUUAUUAGGUAUAUUAGGGAAUUAGGACUUUUAUUAUAAAUAAAUUAGAUUGUUUAAAGAAGGCCUAUAUUUGAAUAUAUUAAUAUAGAAUAAUAGAAUAGGAUAUGUAAUUCUAUUUUAUUAGUUUCUAGGACCGCUGUAAUAAUUAAUAGGGAUAGUCGGGGGUAUUAAUAUUUAAUUGUUAAAGGUAAAAUUCUUAGAUUUAUUAAAAAUUAAUUAUUACGAAAGUAUUUACUAAGGAUGUUUUUAUUAAUUAGGAACGAAAGUUAAGGGAUUAAAGAUAAUUAAAUACUAUUAUAAUUUUAAUUAUAAAUUAUACCGAUUAGGGAUCGGACGGUAUUAUUUUUUAACCUAUUCGGUACCUUAUAAUAAAUUAAAAUAUUUGGGCUCUUAGGGGAAUAUAGUUAUAAGGUUGAAAUUUAAAGAAAUUAAUAGAAGGGUACUAUUAGGGGUAGAGUUUGCGGUUUAAUUUAAUUUAAUAUAAAGAAAUUUAUUAAAUCUAAAUAUAAUAAGGAUUAAUAAAUUGAGAGUUCUUUUUUAAUUUCGUAGGUAGUAGUAUAUAGCUGUUUUUAAUUAGUAGAGUAAUUUGUUUAUUUAAUUAUAAUAACGAACGAGACUUUAAUUUACUAAAUAGCUUAUAUUACUUUGGUAGUACAUUAGUUUUUUAGAGGGAUUAUUAGUUUAAGCCGAUGGAAGUUUGAGGUAAUAAUAGGUUUAUAAUGCCCUUAGAUGUUUUAGGCUGUAUGCGCGCUAUAUUAAUAUAGUUAGCGAAUAUUUCCUUAGUUGGAAGGUCCGGGUAAUCUUAUUAAAUUGUAUUGUAUUAGGGAUAGAGUAUUAUAAUUAUUAUUUUUUAAUAAAGAAUUUUUAAUAAAUAUAAAUUAUUAGUUUAUAUUAAUUACGUCCUUACCUUUUAUAUAUACCGCCCGUUGCUAUUAUUAAUUGAAUAAUUUAGUAAGGUUUCUAGAUUAAUUUAAGGAGGUCGGUAAUAAUUAUUUAGGGCUGGAAAGUUAUUUAAAUUCGGUUAUUUAGAGGAAGUAAAAGUUGUAAUAAGGUUUUUAUUAAUAAAUUAAUAGAAGGAUUAUUA